rnacentral:lncRNA from 1 species
GCGGCUCCGGCGAAGGCGGCGGAGUACCAGGCGCAGGGCUGGGAGGCGCAGGCGACGGCGGGGGCACGCCCGGACCGGGGCUGGGCGGCUCCGGCGAAGGUGGCGGCGCACCAGGCGCGGGGCUGGGAGGCGCAGGCGACGGCGGGGGCACGCCCGGCGCGGGGCUGGGCGGCUCCGGCGAAGGAGGCGGCGUGCCAGGCGCAGGGCUGGGAGGCGCAGGCGACGGCGGGGGCACACCCGGUCCGGGGCUGGGCGGCUCCGGCGAAGGCGGCGGCGUGCCAGGCGCAGGGCUGGGAGGCGCAGGCGACGGCGGGGGCACACCCGGCGCGGGGCUGGGCGGCUCCGGCGAAGGCGGCGGCGUGCCAGGCGCAGGGCUGGGAGGCGCAGGCGACGGCGGGGGCACACCCGGCGCGGGGCUGGGCGGCUCCGGCGAAGGCGGCGGCGUGCCAGGCGCAGGGCUGGGAGGCGCAGGCGACGGCGGGGGCACACCCGGCGCGGGGCUGGGCGGCUCCGGCGAAGGCGGUGGCGUGCCAGGCGCAGGGCUGGGAGGCGCAGGCGACGGCGGGGGCACACCCGGCGCGGGGCUAGGCGGCUCUGGCGAAGGCGGCGGCGUACCAGGCGCAGGGCUGGGAGGCGCAGGCGACGGCGGGGGCACACCCGGACCGGGGCUGGGCGGCUCCGGCGAAGGUGGCGGCGUGCCAGGCGCGGGGCUGGGAGGCGCAGGCGACGGCGGGGGCACACCCGGCGCGGGGCUGGGCGGCUCCGGCGAAGGCGGCGCAGGGCUGGGAGGCGCAGGGCUGGGAGGCGCAGGCGACGGCGGGGGCACACCCGGCGCAGGGCUGGGCGGCUCCGGCGAAGGCGGUGGCGUGCCAGGCGCAGGGCUGGGAGGCGCAGGCGACGGCGGGGGCACACCCGGCGCGGGGCUAGGCGGCUCUGGCGAAGGCGGCGCAGGGCUGGGAGGCGCAGGGCUGGGAGGCGCAGGCGACGGCGGGGGCACACCAGGUCCGGGGCUGGGCGGCUCCGGCGAAGGCGGCGGCGUGCCAGGCGCAGGGCUGGGAGGCGCAGGCGACGGAGGGGGCACACCCGGCGCGGGGCUGGGCGGCUCCGGCGAAGGCGGCGGCGUGCCAGGCGCAGGGCUGGGAGGCGCAGGCGACGGAGGGGGCACACCCGGCGCGGGGCUGGGCGGCUCCGGCGAAGGCGGCGGCGUGCCAGGCGCAGGGCUGGGAGGCGCAGGCGACGGCGGGGGCACACCCGGACCGGGGCUGGGCGGCUCCGGCGAAGGCGGCGGCGUGCCAGGCGCAGGGCUGGGAGGCGCAGGCGACGGCGGGGGCACACCCGGCGCGGGGCUAGGCGGCUCUGGCGAAGGCGGCGCAGGGCUGGGAGGCGCAGGGCUGGGAGGCGCAGGCGACGGCGGGGGCACACCCGGCGCGGGGCUGGGCGGCUCCGGCGAAGGAGGCGGCGUGCCAGGCGCAGGGCUGGGAGGCGCAGGCGACGGAGGGGGCACACCCGGCGCGGGGCUGGGCGGCUCCGGCGAAGGCGGCGGCGCGCCAGGCGCAGGGCUAGGAGGCGCAGGCGACGGCGGGGGCACACCCGGCGCAGGGCUGGGCGGCUCUGGCGAAGGAGGCGGCGUGCCAGGCGCAGGGCUGGGAGGCGCAGGCGACGGAGGGGGCACACCCGGCGCGGGGCUGGGCGGCUCCGGCGAAGGCGGCGGCGCGCCAGGCGCAGGGCUAGGAGGCGCAGGCGACGGCGGGGGCACACCCGGCGCGGGGCUGGGCGGCUCCGGCGAAGGCGGCGGCGUGCCAGGCGCAGGGCUGGGAGGCGCAGGCGACGGCGGGGGCACACCAGGUCCGGGGCUAGGCGGCUCUGGCGAAGGCGGCGGCGUGCCAGGCGCAGGGCUGGGAGGCGCAGGCGACGGAGGGGGCACACCCGGCGCGGGGCUGGGCGGCUCCGGCGAAGGCGGCGGCGUGCCAGGCGCAGGGCUGGGAGGCGCAGGCGACGGCGGGGGCACACCCGGCGCGGGGCUGGGCGGCUCCGGCGAAGGCGGCGGCGUGCCAGGCGCAGGGCUGGGAGGCGCAGGCGACGGCGGGGGCACACCCGGCGCGGGGCUAGGCGGCUCCGGCGAAGGCGGCGGAGUACCAGGCGCAGGGCUGGGAGGCGCAGGCGACGGCGGGGGCACACCAGGUCCGGGGCUGGGCGGCUCCGGCGAAGGAGGCGGCGUGCCAGGCGCAGGGCUGGGAGGCGCAGGCGACGGAGGGGGCACACCCGGCGCGGGGCUGGGCGGCUCCGGCGAAGGCGGCGGCGCGCCAGGCGCAGGGCUAGGAGGCGCAGGCGACGGCGGGGGCACACCCGGCGCAGGGCUGGGCGGCUCCGGCGAAGGAGGCGGCGUGCCAGGCGCAGGGCUGGGAGGCGCAGGCGACGGCGGGGGCACACCCGGCGCGGGGCUAGGCGGCUCUGGCGAAGGCGGCGCAGGGCUGGGAGGCGCAGGGCUGGGAGGCGCAGGCGACGGCGGGGGCACACCCGGCGCGGGGCUGGGCGGCUCCGGCGAAGGCGGCGGCGUGCCAGGCGCAGGGCUGGGAGGCGCAGGCGACGGCGGGGGCACACCCGGCGCAGGGCUGGGCGGCUCCGGCGAAGGCGGCGGCGUGCCAGGCGCAGGGCUGGGAGGCGCAGGCGACGGAGGGGGCACACCCGGCGCGGGGCUAGGCGGCUCCGGCGAAGGCGGCGGCGUGCCAGGCGCAGGGCUGGGAGGCGCAGGCGACGGCGGGGGCACACCCGGCGCGGGGCUGGGCGGCUCCGGCGAAGGCGGCGGCGUGCCAGGCGCAGGGCUGGGAGGCGCAGGCGACGGCGGGGGCACACCCGGCGCGGGGCUGGGCGGCUCCGGCGAAGGUGGCGGAGUACCAGGCGCAGGGCUGGGAGGCGCAGGCGACGGCGGGGGCACACCCGGCGCAGGGCUGGGCGGCUCCGGCGAAGGCGGCGGCGUGCCAGGCGCAGGGCUAGGAGGCGCAGGCGACGGAGGGGGCACACCCGGCGCGGGGCUAGGCGGCUCCGGCGAAGGUGGCGGCGUACCAGGCGCAGGGCUGGGAGGCGCAGGCGACGGCGGGGGCACACCCGGCGCGGGGCUGGGCGGCUGCGGCGAAGGUGGCGGCGUACCAGGCGCAGGGCUGGGAGGCGCAGGCGACGGCGGGGGCACACCCGGCGCGGGGCUAGGCGGCUCCGGCGAAGGCGGCGGAGUACCAGGCGCAGGGCUGGGAGGCGCAGGCGACGGCGGGGGCACACCCGGCGCGGGGCUAGGCGGCUCCGGCGAAGGCGGCGGAGUACCAGGCGCAGGGCUGGGAGGCGCAGGCGACGGCGGGGGCACACCCGGCGCGGGGCUAGGCGGCUCCGGCGAAGGUGGCGGAGUACCAGGCGCAGGGCUGGGAGGCGCAGGCGACGGCGGGGGCACACCAGGUCCGGGGCUGGGCGGCUCCGGCGAAGGUGGCGGCGUGCCAGGCGCAGGGCUGGGAGGCGCAGGCGACGGCGGGGGCACACCCGGCGCGGGGCUGGGCGGCUGCGGAGAAGGAGGCGGCGUGCCAGGCGCAGGGCUGGGAGGCGCAGGCGACGGCGGGGGCACACCCGGCGCGGGGCUGGGCGGCUCCGGCGAAGGCGGCGGCGCGCCAGGCGCAGGGCUGGGAGGCGCAGGCGACGGCGGGGGCACACCCGGCGCGGGGCUAGGCGGCUCUGGCGAAGGCGGCGGCGUGCCAGGCGCAGGGCUGGGAGGCGCAGGCGACGGAGGGGGCACACCCGGCGCGGGGCUGGGCGGCUCCGGCGAAGGCGGCGGCGUGCCAGGCGCAGGGCUGGGAGGCGCAGGCGACGGAGGGGGCACACCCGGCGCGGGGCUGGGCGGCUCCGGCGAAGGCGGCGGCGUGCCAGGCGCAGGGCUGGGAGGCGCAGGCGACGGCGGGGGCACACCCGGCGCGGGGCUGGGCGGCUCCGGCGAAGGCGGCGGCGUGCCAGGCGCAGGGCUGGGAGGCGCAGGCGACGGCGGGGGCACACCCGGCGCGGGGCUAGGCGGCUCCGGCGAAGGCGGCGGAGUACCAGGCGCAGGGCUGGGAGGCGCAGGCGACGGCGGGGGCACACCAGGUCCGGGGCUGGGCGGCUCCGGCGAAGGAGGCGGCGUGCCAGGCGCAGGGCUGGGAGGCGCAGGCGACGGCGGGGGCACACCCGGCGCGGGGCUGGGCGGCUCCGGCGAAGGCGGCGGAGUACCAGGCGCAGGGCUGGGAGGCGCAGGCGACGGCGGGGGCACACCCGGCGCGGGGCUAGGCGGCUCCGGCGAAGGCGGCGGAGUACCAGGCGCAGGGCUGGGAGGCGCAGGCGACGGCGGGGGCACACCCGGCGCGGGGCUAGGCGGCUCCGGCGAAGGCGGCGGCGUACCAGGCGCAGGGCUGGGAGGCGCAGGCGACGGCGGGGGCACACCCGGCGCGGGGCUAGGCGGCUCCGGCGAAGGUGGCGGCGUACCAGGCGCAGGGCUGGGAGGCGCAGGCGACGGCGGGGGCACACCCGGCGCGGGGCUGGGCGGCUCCGGCGAAGGAGGCGGCGUGCCAGGCGCAGGGCUGGGAGGCGCAGGCGACGGAGGGGGCACACCCGGCGCGGGGCUGGGCGGCUCCGGCGAAGGCGGCGGCGUGCCAGGCGCAGGGCUGGGAGGCGAAGGCGAAGGCGGGGGCACACCCGGACCGGGGCUGGGCGGCUCCGGCGAAGGCGGCGCAGGGGUGGGAGGCGCAGGGCUGGGAGGCGCAGGCGACGGCGGGGGCACACCCGGCGCGGGGCUGGGCGGCUCCGGCGAAGGCGGUGGCGUGCCAGGCGCAGGGCUGGGAGGCGCAGGCGACGGCGGGGGCACACCCGGCGCGGGGCUAGGCGGCUCUGGCGAAGGCGGCGCAGGGCUGGGAGGCGCAGGGCUGGGAGGCACAGGCGACGGCGGGGGCACACCCGGUGCGGGGCUGGGCGGCUCCGGCGAAGGCGGCGCAGGGCUGGGAGGCGCAGGGCUGGGAGGCGAAGGCGAAGGCGGGGGCACACCCGGUCCGGGGCUGGGCGGCUCCGGCGAAGGUGGCGGCGUGCCAGGCGCAGGGCUGGGAGGCGCAGGCGACGGCGGGGGCACACCCGGCGCGGGGCUGGGCGGCUCCGGCGAAGGCGGUGGCGUGCCAGGCGCAGGGCUGGGAGGCGCAGGCGACGGCGGGGGCACACCCGGCGCGGGGCUGGGCGGCUCCGGCGAAGGUGGCGGCGUGCCAGGCGCAGGGCUGGGAGGCGCAGGCGACGGCGGGGGCACACCCGGCGCAGGGCUGGGCGGCUCCGGCGAAGGCGGCGGCGUGCCAGGUGCAGGGCUGGGAGGCGCAGGCGACGGCGGGGGCACGCCCGGCGCGGAGCUGGGCGGCUCCGGCGAAGGCGGCGGCGUGCCAGGCGCAGGGCUGGGAGGCGCAGGCGACGGCGGGGGCACACCCGCCGCGGGGCUGGGCGGCUCCGGCGAAGGCGGCGGCGUGCCAGGCGCAGGGCUGGGAGGCGCAGGCGACGGCGGGGGCACACCCGGCGCGGGGCUGGGCGGCUCCGGCGAAGGUGGCGGCGUGCCAGGCGCAGGGCUGGGAGGCGCAGGCGACGGCGGGGGCACACCCGGCGCGGGGCUAGGCGGCUCUGGCGAAGGCGGCGCAGGGCUGGGAGGCGCAGGGCUGGGAGGCGCAGGCGACGGCGGGGGCACACCCGGUGCGGGGCUGGGCGGCUCCGGCGAAGGCGGCGGAGUACCAGGCGCAGGGCUGGGAGGCGCAGGCGACGGCGGGGGCACGCCCGGACCGGGGCUAGGCGGCUCUGGCGAAGGUGGCGGCGUACCAGGCGCGGGGCUGGGAGGCGCAGGCGACGGCGGGGGCACGCCCGGCGCGGGGCUGGGCGGCUCCGGCGAAGGAGGCGGCGUGCCAGGCGCAGGGCUGGGAGGCGCAGGCGACGGCGGGGGCACACCCGGUCCGGGGCUGGGCGGCUCCGGCGAAGGCGGCGGCGUGCCAGGCGCAGGGCUGGGAGGCGCAGGCGACGGCGGGGGCACACCCGGCGCGGGGCUGGGCGGCUCCGGCGAAGGCGGCGGCGUGCCAGGCGCAGGGCUGGGAGGCGCAGGCGACGGCGGGGGCACACCCGGCGCGGGGCUGGGCGGCUCCGGCGAAGGCGGCGGCGUGCCAGGCGCAGGGCUGGGAGGCGCAGGCGACGGCGGGGGCACACCCGGCGCGGGGCUGGGCGGCUCCGGCGAAGGCGGUGGCGUGCCAGGCGCAGGGCUGGGAGGCGCAGGCGACGGCGGGGGCACACCCGGCGCGGGGCUAGGCGGCUCUGGCGAAGGCGGCGGCGUACCAGGCGCAGGGCUGGGAGGCGCAGGCGACGGCGGGGGCACACCCGGACCGGGGCUGGGCGGCUCCGGCGAAGGUGGCGGCGUGCCAGGCGCGGGGCUGGGAGGCGCAGGCGACGGCGGGGGCACACCCGGCGCGGGGCUGGGCGGCUCCGGCGAAGGCGGCGCAGGGCUGGGAGGCGCAGGGCUGGGCGGCUCCGGCGAAGGCGGCGGCGUGCCAGGCGCAGGGCUGGGAGGCGAAGGCGAAGGCGGGGGCACACCCGGCGCGGGGCUGGGCGGCUCCGGCGAAGGUGGCGGCGUGCCAGGCGCAGGGCUGGGAGGUGCAGGCGACGGCGGGGGCACACCCGGCGCGGGGCUGGGCGGCUCCGGCGAAGUCGGCGGCGUGCCAGGCCUUUCCAGCACANNNNNNNNNNNNNNNNNNNNNNNNNNNNNNNNNNNNNNNNNNNNNNNNNNNNNNNNNNNNNNNNNNNNNNNNNNNNNNNNNNNNNNNNNNNNNNNNNNNNGGGCACCACAGGCGCGGGGCUAGGCGGCUCCGGCGAAGGCGGCGGAGUACCAGGCGCAGGGCUGGGAGGCGCAGGCGACGGCGGGGGCACACCCGGCGCGGGGCUAGGCGGCUCCGGCGAAGGUGGCGGCGUACCAGGCGCAGGGCUGGGAGGCGCAUGCGACGGCGGGGGCACACCAG